UAUUUAGAAUAUGAGCCACAUGCAAACAGCCCGGAUGCCAAUGGCAAAACGUGCAAGAGGACAACAAUUAACAGAAAAAUCAGAACCAGUUGAACCAAGCAAGCAGGUAGAGGUAGGAGAGGAAGACAGGAGACCAAACUAUAAACAGACAGGGAAGGAACAGAUAAAUGUUAACGAACAGUAACAGUGCCAUCAUCUUCUUCUUUUCUCUUGUCUCAAUGUCUCAACACAGAAUAAACCUUCUCUUCUCCUACAUUCCUUUUAACUUUCUUCCCCAUCCAAAUAUGCCAAUAACAAGAGUAAUAGUAACAAAACAGUCACUAGCAAUUACAAUCCGUCAAGGAGACUAGCUCUCUUUCAGCUUGGAACUGAUAUCCCACAAUCACAGUUCUUAAGUGGAAACUUAGCACCAGCAAGAAGUAGUGAGGUUGCUGAGAAAAAUGUACUAGAGUGGGUUGAGAAUGACAAGAGAAGAACGCAUGCUUCAUGGUGCCUAUAAUGGACUUGGACAAGGCUAUAAAAUUUUAUACUGAAUUUCGAGGAAUGAAGUUGUUAAGGAAAAGUGAUGUACCUGAGGACAGAUAUAGUAAUGCUUUUCUUGGAUAUGGACCUGAAGACUCUACUCUUGAACUUACUUAUAGAGAAUCAUGAAGAUAACAAGUAUGAUAAUGGAAAUGGAUUUUUACAUUUUGGUUACUAGGGAACCGGGUCCAGUUAAAGGUGGAAUUACAAAAAUCCCAUUUGUUGAAGACCCAAUGGCUACAAGUUUGAGCUCUUGGAAAGAGGCCUGACUCCUGAGCCCCUAUGCCAAGUGAUGCUUCGAGUGGGUGAUCUUGAUCGCUCCAUAGACUUUUAUAAGAAGGUUAGACGUAAUCAAUGCUGUAAGAAGCUGCUUCGUUCAUUGAAAUUAAAGCAGUGGCAUUGCUUCUUCAGAUGCACCAAAUUCAAGUUUCCUACUAACCUGUUCUUAAUCCUUGUUGUUACAAGCUCUUCUCCAUAGAAGCAUUUCCCAUUUUCCUCAAGUAUAUUGCUAGGCAUAAGAUGCCACUCUAAUUAGUUGCUUGUUAAUUAUUCUACCUUCUCAUAGCCAUGAUGGGUUAUGGCCCUGAAGAUAAAAAUGCAGGUCUGGAACUGACAUGUAACUAUGGGAUUACAGAAUAAAACAAGGACAAUGGCUACACGCAGGCACAAUUGAUGCCUACAAGAGUGCAGAGGCAGUCAAGCUCUGUGGAGGAAAAAUUGUCCGUGAGCCUGGCCCUAAACCAGUUAUCAACACCAAGAUUACUGCAUCCUUGGAUCCUGAAGGUUGGAGAUCGUGUUUGGUCUUUGGUGCAACUUCUCAUGCUAAAGAAGAAAAAAGCAAGAAGCAAGCUGGUGAAGAGAGGGGGAACAGUGGGAUAUUUAAACAUGGGCUUUAAGAGUUACAAAAAUGGAGGCACACAUUCUGUGAUACAAGAAAAGGGGCUCUCAAUAAAGAUAGUGCAUCUUUGUCCUCAGCUUAAACCUUACUUGCUUUUCAUCUCCACUCUUUUGUGCUUUGAUACGUAAAGAGCUAAAGGCUCGAUUUUUCUUGAAAGGCGGGAUUCAUGAUUACUUAGAUUCUCCUUUAUCUCCAUCAUCACUAUCACUGUAUAGAGAGGAAUGGGGCCUUGCUAAGCAAUUGGUAGAAGGAAAAUGCAGCAAGCAUCAUUUGUGAA